rnacentral:rRNA from 1 species
CCAACGGGAGGCUGCAGUUAAGAAUCUUGCGCAAUGGGGGAAACCCUGACGCAGCGACGCCGCGUGGACGAUGAAGGCCUUCGGGUUGUAAAGUCCAAUAAGCGGGGAAGAAUAAGCAACGGGUAAUAUUCGUUGUGAUGACGGUACCUGCCUAAAGCCCCGGCUAACUACGUGCCAGCAGCCGCGGUAAUACGGAUGGGGCUAGCGUUGAUCGGAAUUAUUGGGCGUAAAGGGCGUGUAGGCGGGGGAUUAAGUUGGGUGUGAAAUCCCGGGGCUUAACCCAGGAACUG